UCUGCCUCUGCUGCUUUAUAAGUAGAGCUAAACAAAUUUGUCGCGUAACUUCAAACAAAUUUUGCGACCGAAUUUGAAACCGAACUUGUUAUCUGAAAGUUUUACAGAUAUGGGUAGAGAUCAUCUGGGAGGAGUAAUUCUGGGAUUGAUUUUUCGAGGAAAAGACUAUUAAGUAAAAAGGAGGAGAAAACUUCAACAAAUGUUCAUGAGGCAAAGGUGGAUUAUUUGAGUCAGCUAUCAGAUGUUGAUGAGGCAAAGGUGGAUUAUACGAGUCAGCUACCAGAUGAUGUUUUGUCUUCAAUUCUGUCACGUAUGACAAUUAAAGAUGUUGUUAAGACCAGCAUUUUGUCUACAAGGUGGAGAUAUCUGGUUGCUUCUAUGCUUACAUUACAGUUCAGCCUUGACAUGUUUGGCGUUA